AUACAACAGAAAAUAAAAUAAAAAAUAAUAAACUAACCGACUGUAAUCUGAUAACAAAAAAAAUAUUAAUCCUUUAUUUUUCUUCGGAGGAAUCGGAAGAGUCAGUGAAGUUGAAGAUGUCAGAGAAGUCGGAGGAGUCGGAGAUGUCGGAGGUGUCGGUAGUCGGAUUCCAAACCGGAGGGAUCCGAACCGGAGGAACCGAAGGAUUGAUCCAAGAUAGUGCCAAGGUGUUGUAAUACUUCCAUGUGAGAAGCGCGGUAGAGAAACGAGAAAGAGAAGAACUCACCACGAGUGAAACAAUAAAGAAAAGAUAAGAGUGAAAUGUGUGAUAGGUGUUU
rnacentral:lncRNA from 1 species